rnacentral:tRNA from 1 species
ACUCAGGGGUUAGAGCACCGCACUCGUAAUGCGAAGGUCAUCGGUUCGACUCCGAUAACCGGCU